CCUACGGGUGGCUGCAGUAGGGAAUAUUGGACAAUGGGCGCAAGCCUGAUCCAGCCAUGCCGCGUGAGUGAAGAAGGCCCUCGGGUUGUAAAGCUCUUUUGUCCGGAAAGAAAAGCAUUCGGUUAAUACCCGGGUGUUCUGACGGUACCGGAAGAAUAAGCACCGGCUAACUUCGUGCCAGCAGCCGCGGUAAUACGAAGGGUGCAUGCGUUACUCGGAAUGACUGUGCGUGAAUCGUGAAGUCGGGGGUGAAAGCCCUGGGCUCAACCUGGGAAUUGCAUUGGAUACUGGCAAGCUAGAGUGCGGCAGAGGGUAGUGGAAUUCCUGGUGUAGCAGUGAAAUGCGUAGAGAUCAGGAGGAACAUCCGUGGCGAAGGCGACUGCCUGGGCCAGCACUGACACUGAGGCACGAAAGCGUGGGGAGCAAACAGGAUUAGAUACCCCAGUAGUC
rnacentral:rRNA from 1 species